CCUACGGGGUGCAGCAGGCGCGAAAACUUUACAAUGCUGGCAACAGCGAUAAGGGAACCUCGAGUGCCAGGUUACAAAUCUGGCUGUCGAGAUGCCUAAAAAGCAUUUCAUAGCAAGGGCCGGGCAAGACCGGUGCCAGCCGCCGCGGUAACACCGGCGGCUCGAGUGGUAACCGUUAUUAUUGGGUCUAAAGGGUCUGUAGCCGGCCGGAUAAGUCUCUUGAGAAAUCUGGCAGCUUAACUGUCAGGCUUUCAGGAGAUACUAUCUGGCUCGAGGCCGGGAGAGGUGAGAGGUACUUCAGGGGUAGGGGUGAAAUCUUGGAAUCCUUGAAGGACCACCAGUGGCGAAGGCGUCUCACCAGAACGGACCUGACGGCAAGGGACGAAAGCUAGGGGCACGAACC
rnacentral:rRNA from 1 species